rnacentral:rRNA from 1 species
GGUCAAGCGAAUAAGCGCACACGGUGGAUGCCUUGGCGGUCAGAGGCGAUGAAGGACGUGGCAGCCUGCGAAAAGUAUCGGGGAGCUGGCAACAAGCUUUGAUCCGGUAAUGUCCGAAUGGGGAAACCCACCCGCUUGCGGGUAUCCUGCAGUGAAUACAUAGCUGCUGGAAGCGAACCUGGUGAACUGAAAUAUCUAAGUAACCAGAGGAAAAGAAAUCAACCGAGAUUCCGUAAGUAGCGACGAGCGAACGCGGACUAGCCCUUAAGCUGAUUUGGUUCUAGGAAAACGCUCUGGAAAGAGCGGCCAUAGAAGGUGAUAGCCCUGUAUCUGAAAGGGCCAUUUCAGUGAAGACGAGUAGGGCGGGGCACGUGAAACCCUGUCUGAACAUGGGGGGACCAUCCUCCAAGGCUAAAUACUACUGACCGACCGAUAGUGAACCAGUACCGUGAGGGAAAGGCGAAAAGAACCCCGGAGAGGGGAGUGAAAUAGAACCUGAAACCGUGUGCGUACAAGCAGUAGGAGCUCCGCAAGGAGUGACUGCGUACCUUUUGUAUAAUGGGUCAGCGACUUACUGUUCGUGGCAAGCUUAACCGUAUAGGGGAGGCGAAGGGAAACCGAGUCUGAUAAGGGCGCAUAGUCGCGGGCAGUAGACCCGAAACCGGGUGAUCUAGUCAUGCCCAGGGUGAAGGUGCGGUAACACGCACUGGAGGCCCGAACCCACUCCCGUUGCAAAGGUAGGGGAUGAGGUGUGAUUAGGAGUGAAAAGCUAAUCGAACCCGGAGAUAGCUGGUUCUCCUCGAAAGCUAUUUAGGUAGCGCCUCAUAUGUAUCCUCUCGGGGGUAGAGCACUGUUAUGGCUAGGGGGUCAUCGCGACUUACCAAACCAUUGCAAACUCCGAAUACCGAGACGGACUGUAUGGGAGACACACGGCGGGUGCUAACGUCCGUCGUGAAAAGGGAAACAACCCAGACCCACAGCUAAGGUCCCAAAUUCACUGCUAAGUGGAAAACCAUGUGGAAAGGCACAGACAGCCAGGAGGUUGGCUUAGAAGCAGCCACCCUUUAAAGAAAGCGUAAUAGCUCACUGGUCGAGUCGGUCUGCGGGGAAGAUUUAACGGGGCUAAGCAGUGAACCGAAGCUUGGGGUGCAUAACUUUGUUAUGCGCGGUAGAGGAGCGUUCCGUAAGCCGUUGAAGGUGGAUUGAGAAGUCUGCUGGAGGUAUCGGAAGUGCGAAUGCUGACAUGAGUAACGAUAAUGCGGGUGAAAAACCCGCACGCCGAAAGCCCAAGGUUUCCUUGCGCAACGUUAAUCGGCGCAGGGUGAGUCGGCCCCUAAGGCGAGGACGAAAGUCGUAGUCGAUGGGAAGCAGGUUAAUAUUCCUGCACCUCGCGUAAGUGCGAUGGAGGGACGGAGAAGGUUAGGUGUACCAGGCGUUGGUUGUCCUGGGGAAAGGCGGUAGGUUUGGAUCUUUGGCAAAUCCGGGAUCCUCUAAGACCGAGCACCGAGACGAGCCUUUAUGGCAAAGUCACUGAUACCACGCUUCCAGGAAAAGCUCCUAAGCUUCAGCUUACGCAGACCGUACCGUAAACCGACACAGGUGGGUAGGAUGAGAAUUCUCAGGCGCUUGAGAGAACUCGGGUGAAGGAACUAGGCAACAUGGCACCGUAACUUCGGGAGAAGGUGCACCCUUUUUGGUGGCUCGUGCGAGCUAUAGCUGAAGAGGGUCGCAGUAACCAGGCCGCUGCGACUGUUUAUCAAAAACACAGCACUCUGCAAACACGAAAGUGGACGUAUAGGGUGUGACGCCUGCCCGGUGCUGGAAGGUUAAUUGAUGGGGUCAGCCGCAAGGCGAAGCUCUUGAUCGAAGCCCCAGUAAACGGCGGCCGUAACUAUAACGGUCCUAAGGUAGCGAAAUUCCUUGUCGGGUAAGUUCCGACCUGCACGAAUGGCGUAACGACAGCGGCGCUGUCUCCACCCGAGACUCAGUGAAAUUGAAAUCGCUGUGAAGAUGCAGCGUUCCCGUGGCAAGACGGAAAGACCCCGUGAACCUUUACUAUAGCUUUACACUGAACGUUGAGUUCGUCUGUGUAGGAUAGGUGGGAGGCUAUGAAACUGUGGCGCUAGCUGCAGUGGAGCCAUCCUUGAAAUACCACCCUGUCGUGCUUGACGUUCUAACCUGGGCCCAUUAUCUGGGUCGGGGACCGUGUAUGGUGGGUAGUUUGACUGGGGCGGUCUCCUCCUAAAGAGUAACGGAGGAGCUCGAAGGUACGCUCAGCGCGGUCGGACAUCGCGCACUGUGUGCAAAGGCAUAAGCGUGCUUGACUGCAAGAUCGACGGAUCAAGCAGGUAGGAAACUAGGACUUAGUGAUCCGGUGGUUCUGUAUGGAAGGGCCAUCGCUCAACGGAUAAAAGGUACUCCGGGGAUAACAGGCUGAUACCGCCCAAGAGUUCAUAUCGACGGCGGUGUUUGGCACCUCGAUGUCGGCUCAUCACAUCCUGGGGCUGUAGUCGGUCCCAAGGGUAUGGCUGUUCGCCAUUUAAAGUGGUACGCGAGCUGGGUUCAGAACGUCGUGAGACAGUUCGGUCCCUAUCUGCCAUGGGCGUUGGAGAUUUGAGAGGGGCUGCUCCUAGUACGAGAGGACCGGAGUGGACGAACCUCUGGUGUUCCGGUUGUCACGCCAGUGGCAUUGCCGGGUAGCUAUGUUCGGAAGCGAUAACCGCUGAAAGCAUCUAAGCGGGAAGCGCGCCUCAAGAUGAGAUCUCCCGGGGCACAAGCCCCCUGAAGGAACCAUGUAGACUACGUGGUUGAUAGGUCAGGUGUGUAAGUACAGCAAUGUAUUGAGCUAACUGAUACUAAUGAUCCGAGAGGCUUGACCAU